rnacentral:rRNA from 1 species
AAUCCCGAGUAGCAUGGGGCACGUGAAAUCCCGUGUGAAUCAGCGAGGACCACCUCGUAAGGCUAAAUACUCCUGAGUGACCGAUAGCGAAAUAGUACCACGAGGGAAAGGUGAAAAGAACCCCUGUUGGGGAGUGAAAUAGAACAUGAAACCGUAUGCUGACAAGCAGUGGGAGCAAGAAUGCUUGUGACCGCGUGCCUGUUGAAGAAUGAGCCGGCGACUUAUAGGGAGUGGCUGGGUUAAGGAGUAAAAUCCGGAGCCCAAGCGAAAGCGAGUCUGAAUAGGGCGCAAAUGGUCACUUCUUAUGGACCCGAACCCGGGUGAUCUAUUCAUGGCCAGGAUGAAGCUUGGGUAACACCAAGUGGAGGUCCGAACCGACCGAUGUUGAAAAAUCGGCGGAUGAGCUGUGAAUAGGGGAGAAAUUCCAAUCGAACUCGGAGCUAGCUGGAUCUCCCCGAAAUGCGUUGAGGCGCAGCGGUAACGAUGAACUGUCUUGGGGUAAAGCUACUGUUUCGAUGCGGGCUGCGAAAGCGGUACCAAGUCGUGGCAAACUCAGAAUACAAGACAUGUCUUCCGUAAACCAGUGAGACAGUGGGGGAUAAGCUUCAUUGUCAAGAGGGAAACAGCCCAGAUCACCAGCUAAGGCCCCUAAAUGGUCACUAAGUGGAAAAGGAUGUGAGAAUGCUGAAACAACCAGGAGGUUUGCUUAGAAGCAGCCACCCUUCAAAGAGUGCGUAAUAGCUCACUGGUAAAGCGUUCUUGCGCCGAUAAUGGCCGGGACUAAGUGACCUGCCGAAGCUGUGAUAUAAUUUAUUAUAUAAAUUAUAGGUAGGGGAGCGUUCCGCUCUCGGGUGAAGUUUUCACGUAAGUGGGGAUGGACGAAGCGGAAGUGAGAAUGUCGGCUUGAGUAACGAAAACAUUGGUGAGAAUCCAAUGCCCCGAAAACCUAAGGGUUCCUCCACUAGGUUCGUCCAUGGGGGGUUAGUCAGGACCUAAGACUAGGCCAAACGGCGUCGUCGAUGGAAAACAGGUUAAUAUUCCUGUACGAGUUAAAUUAUGAUCUGAGGGACGAAGGAGGCUAAGCUAGAACUGUUUUUGGAUUGCAGUGGAAGCGUUUAGACGUUGAGAGAUAGAAAAAAAGCUAUCUUGAGUGGAGACGUGAUCCCUAUUUGAUGGUUCGCCGUCGAGUAGCUAGUGAUGUCAUACUUCCAAGAAAAGCUCAUACAUCUUUAUAAUUUAAUGACCUGUACCUGAAACCGACACAGGUAGGUUGGUAGAGAAUACCAAGGGGCGCGAGAGAACUCUCUCUAAGGAACUCGGCAAACUGGCCCCGUAACUUCGGAAGAAGGGGCACCCAUCCGUAACAAGGUGGGUCGCAGUGACCAGGCCCAGGCGACUGUUUACCAAAAACACAGGUCUCCGCAAAGUCGUAAGACAAUAUAUGGGGGCUGACGCCUGCCCAGUGCCGGAAGGUUAAGGAAGUUGGUUAUUUCGUAAGAAAAAAGCUGACGACCGAAGCCCCGGUGAACGGCGGUCGUAACUAUAACGAUCCUAAGGUAGCGAAAUUCAUUGUCGAGUAAGUUUCGACCUGCACGAAAGGCGUAACGAUCUGGGCGCUGUCUCGGAGAGAGGCUCGGUGAAAUAGACUUGUCCCGUGAAGAUGCGGACUACCUACACCUGGACAGAAAGACCCUAUGAAGCUUGACUGUAUCUUGGAAUUGGGUUUGGGCUUUUCUUGCGCAGCCUAGGUGGGAGGCUAUGAAGAUUACCUUCCGGGGUAAUUAGAGCCGUCAUUGAGAGACCACUCUGGAAGAGCUAGAAUCCUAAUGGGGAUCCUUGAAUCAGGACCCUUGACAGUUUCAGGUGGGCAGUUUAUUUGGGGCGAAUGCCUCCUAAAAGGUAACGGAGGCGUGCAAAGGUUCCCUCAGUCUGGACGGAAAUCAGACAUUGAGUGUAAAGGCAAAAGGGAGCUUGACUGCAAGACCUACAAGUCGAGCAGGGGCGAAAGCCGGCCUUAGUGAUCCGACGGUGCCGCGUGGAAGGGCCGUCGCUCAACGGAUAAAAGUUACUCUAGGGAUAACAGGCUGAUCUUCCCCAAGAGUUCACAUCGACGGGAAGGUUUGGCACCUCGAUGUCGGCUCAUCACAUCCUCGGUCUGUAGUAGGUCCGAAGGGUUGGGCUGUUCGCCCAUUAAAGUGGUACGUGAGCUGGGUUCAAAACGUCGUGAGACAGUUUGGUCCAUAUCCGGUGUAGGCGUUAGAGCAUUGAGAGUAGCCUUUCAUAGUACGAGAGGACCUGAAAGGACAUGCCAAUUGUGUACCAGUUCUCAUUCCAAUGGGAAACGCUGGGUAGCUACGCAUGGAUAGAUAACUGCUGAAAGCAUCUAAGUAGGAAGCUAAACUCAAGAUGAGUGCUCUCUAAGGCCGCGGCUAGACAAGCCGUUAUAUAGGUAUCAGGUGUACAGUCAGCAAUGGCUUUAGCCGAGAUAUACUAAAGGCCGUUUGAUUUUGACCUUU